AAAAAAAGGAGUGAAGUGUACAAUGUCGUAGCCAAUUCAUAAAAAAUUCAACAUUUUUGCGACAAACUAAAAGAGAGUGUUUACGAAUUGCAAAAAAGAGAGAGAAAAAAAGCAUGGCAUUCGAAAGAAAAUUUGUGUACAAGGAUAUUAACAAGUCCAAGAAGCAGAUCUUUUCAUGGUAGGCUUCAUCUGUUUAUCUUCUUCAAGUGAUAUCAUACCCAAAUGAGAUGGAUCUUCCAGCAUCAUUCUAGCUACCAAGUAACCAGCAAUGGACCAUGUCUGGAACUUACGCGCCUGCUUUCCAAUAAAUCGACCAAGCUUUCCGUCAUAAUACUCUGGCCAGCUAUCUUUUAGUAAACGCGAUUCAGCUAGUUCAAUGGCCCGUCGUGCUAUUUGGGGUCGACCAGUCUUGAUAGCUGCUGCAGUAAGGAGCCACAGAAGAACUGGCCAAGUGCCACCAUUGUGGUAACUCCAACUAGUGUUUUUAGGGUCGCAUCCUGUUACAAUUCUCCAUUCAUGGCCUUCCAUAGCAGGAUAACAGAUUUUCAGCGGCAUUUCUCCAACUAGCUCUUGCCAUCUUGAUUCAACGAGAUCCAUUAUGGCGGAAGCUUGCUCAGGUGUAGCCAAAGAUGACAAGAUUGAAAUACAGUUACCCAAACAAAACCAACGGAAGUCCAUGUGAGCAGGACUAACAUUUCCGAUGAAGUAACCACCACGAGUUGGCAUGAAAUCAAAAACCCACUCCGGAAGGGAAUCUGGCAUCACAUUAAACUUGUUUACUGCAGUGUGAGAGUACUCUUCUGUUUUGUAGCGGUAUAUAUCAUUCAGUUGUUUUAUGUCGAGCCAAUAGUAACUUCUCAUGUGAAAGCUUAAAGCAUGAAGUCGUUUAAUUAUUGCAUCACAACACUCUUGGUUUUCUUCGUCGUGUUUAAGGAGAAACAAGGCACAUCUUAAGGCCAUAAAGAAAAGUGCUUGUAUUUCAAUAGGAUAGCCAUAGACACCCAUUCUGCGAUCAAUCAUAGAG
rnacentral:misc_RNA from 1 species